rnacentral:lncRNA from 1 species
UUAAUGCUGGGGACUGAACCUAGAGCCUCAUACAUACUAGGCAAGUGCUCUAUAAUUGAACUACCUGUCCAACCCACUGGCUGUUGUGAGUGUGGAGCCUGGUAACUCUGCAAUCUGUGGGGCAGGCUUAGCAGACUGGAGACACCAGGAAGAGCUCAUGUUGCAAAUCAUUCUCAAGCCCUCAAGAGACAGAAUUCCCUCUUCCUAGAGGGAGCUCAGUGUUUCGAGGCCUUUUACUGAUUGGUUAAAGUCCAAUAACUUCUUGGAGGAUGAUCUGUUUUAUUAUAAAUCUACUGAUUAAAAUGCUAAUCUAAUCUCAAAUCUAUCCUCACAGCACCAUCUACAAUGGAGUUUGACAAGAUAUCUGUGUUUUAUGGCAAGGGGAAACAUCUUAUAAACUGUCACAUGGUAAUGAAAAACUCAAUGUAGGAGAAAACAAAAGAAGAUGCCUUUAACAUUUUGAUUUACAACCAUUCAAAUGUUAAAUGAAGACCAAACUCUAUAACCAGAUUCUUCUACUUUGUCAAAUCAAAGAAGGUUCAGUAUGGAAAGAAGGAAGCGAGGUAUUUAUGCAGGUGCAUAUGAUCCACCUGUACAGCAGAUCUCAGCAGAAACUGCUGAGCACUGGAGAGCAGAGUCCAUUCUACUGCUUUUCCUCUACUGAGAAGAGGAGUAACUUCAUGAGCAACCUGAUAGCUGCAUCUCACUGCUUAAUAAGGAUGCUAGAGUACAACUCCUUCAGCUACUGUUCAUCCAUUCACUCAACAGAUGUUCUCCAAGUUUGAACUAAGUGUUAAUAUUGUGCUAAAAGCCAGGUAAACAAGAAAAAGAAGAAUAAAAUCCUUGUCUUUUCCAAACAAACCUGGUUAACAAGUCACCAAGUGUUGU